UUUUCUAAAGCUAAAUAUGGCCAGAGACCGAUAGCCCCCAAGUGGAGUGAUCGAAAGAUGAAAAGCACCUUGAAAAGGGGGUUAAACAGUACGUGAAAUUGUUGAAAGGGAAGCGCUCAUGACCAGACUUGUGCUGGGCAGCUCAUCCGGGGUUCUCCCCGGUGCAUUCUGCCCAGUUCAGGCCAGCAUCGAUUUUUGCUGGGGGAUAAGAACGGUAGGAACGUGGCCCUCCUUCGGGAGGGUGUUAUAGCCUACCGUACGAUACCCUAGCGGAGAUCGAGGUUCGCGCAUCUGCAAGGAUGCUGGCGUAAUGGUCAUCAGCGACCCGUCUUGAAACACGGACCAAGGAGUCGUCCAUUAGAGCGAGCGUUUGGGUGUAAAACCCGCACGCGUAAUGAAAGUGAAAUUAGGUGAGAGCUUCGGCGCAUCAUCGACCGAUCCUGAUGUUCUCGGAUGGAUUUGAGUAAGAGUUUUAACGGACGGACCCGAAAGACAGUGAACUAUGCUUGUAUAGGGUGAAGCCAGAGGAAACUCUGGUGGAGGCUCGCAGCGGUUCUGACGUGCAAAUCGAUCGUCAAAUAUGAGCAUGGGGGCGAAAGACUAAUCGAACUGUCUAGUAGCUGGUUACCGCCGAAGUUUCCCUCAGGAUAGCAGUGUUGACCUUCAGUUUUAUGAGGUAAAGCGAAUGAUUAGGGACUCGGGGGCGCUUUUUAGCCUUCAUCCAUUCUCAAACUUUAAAUAUGUAAGAAGCCCUUGUUACUUAGUUGAACGUGGGCAUUCGAAUGUAUCAACACUAGUGGGCCAUUUUUGGUAAGCAGAACUGGCGAUGCGGGAUGAACCGAACGCGGGGUUAAGGCGCCAGAGUGUACGCUCAUCAGACACCACAAAAGGCGUUAGUACAUCUUGACAGCAGGACGGUGGCCAUGGAAGUCGGAAUCCGCUAAGGACUGUGUAACAACUCACCUGCCGAAUGUACUAGCCCUGGAAAUGGAUGGCGCUCAAGCGUACCGCCCAUACCCCGCCCUCAGGGUAGAA
rnacentral:rRNA from 1 species